CCUGGUGGUGCACGUCCCCAACCUUAUGUGGAUUUCGUAAAUUCUGCAAAAAAGGUUUGGAAGCUGAUCAAUCAAUACUGGAACUCCCUCUUCUCCAGAAGAGACAUCCUGGCCUCCAUGCAGAGGAAUGUGUGGAUGGACAUAUAUUUAAGGAAGACACUAAACCAGAAACUACUACAUUACACCCUCUUAGAAGACUUCUAAGAUUGUUGUCAUGCCUACCACAGACAUUCAGAUGAUGUGUAUUGUUGAUUGUGAUUUCAUGUUUGGACCUGAUGAAGGAGUUUGAAGUCUCCAGAGCAGCAAAGAGAGUGGGGAGUAGAACUAUUCAUCUUUAGGUCACUCAUCAUCG
rnacentral:lncRNA from 1 species